AUCCUGGCUCAGGACGAACGCUGGCGGCGUGCCUAAUACAUGCAAGUCGAGCGGACUUAAAAAGCUUGCUUUUUAAGUUAGCGGCGGACGGGUGAGUAACACGUGGGCAACCUGCCUGUAAGACUGGGAUAACUUCGGGAAACCGGAGCUAAUACCGGAUAAUCCUUUUCUACUCAUGUAGGAAAGCUGAAAGACGGUUUACGCUGUCACUUACAGAUGGGCCCGCGGCGCAUUAGCUAGUUGGUGAGGUAACGGCUCACCAAGGCGACGAUGCGUAGCCGACCUGAGAGGGUGAUCGGCCACACUGGGACUGAGACACGGCCCAGACUCCUACGGGAGGCAGCAGUAGGGAAUCUUCCGCAAUGGACGAAAGUCUGACGGAGCAACGCCGCGUGAGUGAUGAAGGUUUUCGGAUCGUAAAACUCUGUUGUUAGGGAAGAACAAGUACGAGAGUAACUGCUCGUACCUUGACGGU
rnacentral:rRNA from 2 species